AUUGAACGCUGGCGGCAUGCUUUACACAUGCAAGUCGAGCGGCAGCGCGGGGGCAACCCUGGCGGCGAGCGGCGAACGGGAGGGUAAUACAUCGGAACGUACCCAGGAGUGGGGGAUAGCCCGGCGAAAGCCGGAUUAAUACCGCAUACGAUCUUAGGAUGAAAGUGGGGGACCGCACGGCCUCACGCUUUUGGAGCGGCCGAUGUCCGAUUAGCUAGUUGGUGGGGUAAAGGCCUACCAAGGCGACGAUCGGUAGCUGGUCUGAGAGGAUGAUCAGCCACACUGGGACUGAGACACGGCCCAGACUCCUACGGGAGGCAGCAGUGGGGG
rnacentral:rRNA from 1 species